rnacentral:rRNA from 1 species
GACGAACGCUGGCGGCGUGCUUAACACAUGCAAGUCGAACGGAAAGGCCCUGCUUUUGUGGGGUGCUCGAGUGGCGAACGGGUGAGUAACACGUGAGUAACCUGCCCUUGACUUUGGGAUAACUUCAGGAAACUGGGGCUAAUACCGGAUAGGAGCUCCUGCCGCAUGGUGGGGGUUGGAAAGUUUCGGCGGUUGGGGAUGGACUCGCGGCUUAUCAGCUUGUUGGUGGGGUAGUGGCUUACCAAGGCUUUGACGGGUAGCCGGCCUGAGAGGGUGACCGGCCACAUUGGGACUGAGAGACGGCCCAGACUCCUACGGGAGGCAGCAGUGGGGAAUAUUGCACAAUGGGCGGAAGCCUGAUGCAGCAACGCCGCGUGCGGGAUGACGGCCUUCGGGUUGUAAACCGCUUUCGCCUGUGACGAAGCGUGAGUGACGGUAAUGGGUAAAGAAGCACCGGCUAACUACGUG